rnacentral:rRNA from 1 species
UACGUAGGGGGCAAGCGUUGUUCGGAAUUACUGGGCGUAAAGGGCUCGUAGGCGGCCAACUAAGUCAGACGUGAAAUCCCUCGGCUUAACCGGGGAACUGCAUCUGAUACUGGAUGGCUUGAGUUCGGGAGAGGGAUGCGGAAUUCCAGGUGUAGCGGUGAAAUGCGUAGAUAUCUGGAGGAACACCGGGUGGCGAAGGCGGCAUCCUGGACCGACACUGACGCUGAGGAGCGAAAGCCAGGGGAGCAAAGCGGG